ACUCCUACGGGAGGCAGCAGUGGGAAUAUUGCACAAUGGGCGCAAGCCUGAUGCAGCCAUGCCGCGUGUGUGAAGAAGGCCUUCGGGUUGUAAAGCACUUUCAGUAGGGAGGAAGGUGGUAGUGUUAAUAGCGCUAUCAUUUGACGUUACCUACAGAAGAAGCACCGGCUAACUCCGUGCCAGCAGCCGCGGUAAGACGGAGGGGGCUAGCGUUAAUCGGAAUUACUGGGCGUAAAGAGCUCGUAGGCGGUUUGUCACGUCUGCUGUGAAAAUCCAAGGCUCAACCUUGGACUUGCAGUGGGUACGGGCAGGCUAGAGUGCGGUAGGGGAGAUGGGAAUUCCUGGUGUAGUGGUGGAAUGCGCAGAUAUCAGGAGGAACACCAAUGGCGAAGGCACAUCUCUGGGCCGUAACUGACGCUGAGGCACGAAAGCGUGGGUAGCAAACAGGAUUAGAUACCCUGGUAGGUCAGU
rnacentral:rRNA from 1 species